GAUGAACGCUGGCGGCGUGCCUAAUACAUGCCAGUCGAGCGAAAAGACGAGGAGCUUGCUCCUCUGACGUUAGCGGCGGAAGGAUGAGUAACACAUGGAUAACCUACCUGUAAGACUGGGAUCAAUUCGGGAACCCGGAGCUAAUACCGGAUAAUAUAUUGAACCGCAUGGUUCAAUAGUGAAAGACGCCUUUCCUGUUUCUUAUAGAUGGAUCCGCGCCGCAUUAGCUAGUUGGUAAGGUAACGGCUUACCAAGGCAACGAUGCGUAGCCGACCUGAGAGGGUGAUCGGCCACACUGGAACUGAGACACGGUCCAGACUCCUACGGGAGGCAGCAGUAGGGAAUCUUCCGCAAUGGGCGAAAGCCUGACGGAGCAACGCCGCGUGAGUGAUGAAGGUCUUCGGAUCGUAAAACUCUGUUAUUAGGGAAGAACAAAUGUGUAAGUAACUAUGCACGUCUUGACGGUACCUAAUCAGAAAGCCACGGCUAACUACGUG
rnacentral:rRNA from 1 species